rnacentral:rRNA from 1 species
AAGAGUUCUAUAACUCCCAAACCCAUGUGAACAUACCUUACGUUGCCUCGGCAGGUCGUGCCUACCCCGUAGCGUCCUACCCCGUAGGACCUACCCGGUAGACGCGGGUAAGCUUGCCGGCGGCCCACGAAACUCUGUUUAGUAUUGAAUUCUGAACCUGUAACAAAAUAAGUUAAAACUUUCAACAACGGAUCUCUUGGUUCUGGCAUCGAUGAAGAACGCAGCGAAAUGCGAUAAGUAAUGUGAAUUGCAGAAUUCAGUGAAUCAUCGAAUCUUUGAACGCACAUUGCGCCCACUAGUAUUCUAGUGGGCAUGCCUGUUCGAGCGUCAUUUCAACCCUUAAGCCUCUGUUGCUUAGUGUUGGGAGCCUACGGUCAUAGUAGCUCCUCAAAGUUAGUGGCGGAGCUGGCUCACACUCCAGGCGUAGUAGAUGCUAUCUCGCUUGUGAGUUAGGCCGGUCCCCAGCCGUAAAACCCCCUAAUUUUUAAAG